GACAGAGGUGCCAAGCGUUAGGCGGAAUCACUGGGCUUAAAGCGUGUGUAGGCGGACUUGUAAGUACCUUGUGAAAUCCCACGGCUCAACCGUGGAACUGCUUGGUAUACUGCUUGUCUUGAGCCACUUAGGGGCUACCGGAACAAAUGGUGGAGCGGUGAAAUGCGUAGAUAUUCGGAAGAACACCAGUGGCGAAGGCGACUUACUGGACACAUAUUGACGCUGAGGUGCGAAAGCGUGGGGAGCAAACAGG
rnacentral:rRNA from 1 species